CAGUCGCCGCGGUAAUGCGAGGGGGGCAAGCGUUGUUCGGAAUUAUUGGGCGUAAAGGGUGCGUAGGCGGUUUGAUAAGUCAUCUGUGAAAUCUAUGGGCUCAACCCAUAGCCUGCAUCGAAAACUGUCGGGCUUGAGUAUGGGAGAGGUGAGUGGAAUUUCCGGUGUAGCGGUGAAAUGCGUAGAUAUCGGAAGGAACACCUGUGGCGAAAGCGGCUCACUGGACCAUUACUGACGCUGAGGCGCGAAAGCUAGGGGAGCAAACAGGAUUAGAUACCCCAGUAGUCCCUGUCUCUUAUAA
rnacentral:rRNA from 1 species